rnacentral:rRNA from 1 species
AACCUGGUUGAUCCUGCCAGUAGUCAUAUGCUUGUCUUAAGGAUUAAGCCAUGCAUGUCUCAGUACAAACGAUUUUGUACAGUGAAACUGCGAAUGGCUCAUUACAACAGUUAUAGUUUAUUUGAUCGUGCGGCGCUACGUGGAUAACCGUAGGAAUUCUAGAGCUAAUACAUGCACCAUUGCUUUUUCUUUUUAUAAAUAACUUUUUUAAAAGUUGGUUAUAUAAAAAAAAAGCGGGAUUUAUUAGAUCAAAAACCAAUCGUCUAUUUUCGAAUAGGCGUGGUAGGAUGAAUCAUGAUAACUAUCCGAAUCGCAUGGCUUUAUAAAACGGCCGGCGAUAAAUCAUUCAAAUUUCUGCCCUAUCAACUUUCGAUGGUAGGGUAGUGGCCUACCAUGGUGUUGACGGGUGACGGAGAAUUAGGGUUCGAUUCCGGAGAGGGAGCCUGAGAAAUGGCUACCACAUCCAAGGAAGGCAGCAGGCGCGUAAAUUACCCAAUCCUGAUUUAGGGAGGUAGCGACAAGAAAUAACGAUUGCAUACUCAUACGAGUUUGUUAAUUGGAAUGAGGAUAUUUUACACCCCUUCUCGAGGAUCCAUUGGAGGGCAAGUCUGGU